rnacentral:lncRNA from 1 species
AGGAGGUCACAAGAGGAGUCAGGGUGUUGGCUUCAGGAGACUAGGAUAGGUGUGGUCCUAGUACUAGCACAGGAGUGAUCCUAGGAUGGAGGCAUCCACGGGCUUGAGGUUUAAAUGUUGAGGGCCUUGAGGGACUUGGUUGGUGCUCCAGAGGCUUGGGGACACAAAGUGGAGUAAGAAACUAGAGUCAAGGCUGAAGACUGUACAGAAGAAGCAGUUUCAAGGGUCUAGGUCGACUCAGA